CCAUGAAUUUACGUACACUCAGGAUGCACCGCAACGGACACGUAGGAAUAGGCAACGCAACAUAAUUUGGUUCAACCCACCAUUUAGUAAGAGCGUUAACACGAACAUGUACAUAGAACGGGAAUUCUUAAGUUUAAUUGACAAACACUUCCCACUACAAUCUCGUACCCAGAGCCAUCGUUGAGUGGCUCUGGCCACACGGGAUUGAAAAACGAUCCUGAUUGGUCGAUCCAUAAGUUAUUGAACCCAUACCCCCUGUGGCGUUCACGAGCGCGGCCAGUAUGAGUGAAUACGAUAUAUUUUGCUUUAUUUGGCCUGAAAAGUUGCUUAUUUUGACGAAUUUUUUGUUGCUUUUCGUCCGAAAAAGUGGUGAAGGGAUUAAGGAGUUGAUUUAUGCAUACUUGAAUUCAUUUGGGCAAAAUAACAGCCUUCGUUAUGGUAAUAAUUCAUACUCUUGGUUCACUCUGAGUGAGUAUUGAUGGGAAUGAUGGCAUAUGUCCUUGAUCUACUAUAUUGGAGUGUUAUUAUUGAAAAGAAAUUCAAGCGUACAAGACUUACAAGCAUACACGUAUGCUAGGACUGUAUUUAUACAAGAUUUGGGAUUUUUUAAUUGAACUGUAAAUGUAUGAAUCAUCAUGGUGUGAAUGUAACAAUUAAACAGCAUUUGGAUUCUUUUGCAACUUGUCAAUUCGUUUGAUAGAAUUGUUUGAUGAUGCAAUAUAUUGUUUCUGUUUACAGUAUUGCCUGUACAACUCUGUCAGAAACAUUGGUGUUUAUAGCAGCCCAAAAAGGUUUCAUUAAUUUAAAGGCCAUGUAAAGUAUGUAAAGUAAACAAACCCUUUGUUUACAUUCUGAAGUCUGAACCCAGUGCUAUAGUUGUAAAAUAUUAGAUAUGCAUUAUACUGAAUUUUUAACUCUUCUGGUUUGCUAUGUUUGUAAAUGAAUACAGACUAGAGAUUCAAUUCAAGAAAGUUUGGAAGGUGCGAAAUAUUAAUAACAUUCCAAUGGUCGGGUCCCGACCAUUGGAAUGUAGGCCUGCAGAACGCAUGCGCAGAACAGACUUUACAUGGUCUUUAAUAAUAGCAGUAUGUAAUAAUAUGAAACUAUGUGCAGUAUGUAAUAAUAUGAAACCAUCUACACAAUUUAUACAAUGGUGCCAAUAAAACUGGUAAAUAAAUGAUUGUCAACUAUUCGACAGUCUUGCUGUGCUGAGUGGUUAUAUAGUAAUACUACCUGAAAAAAAAAACAAGCAGAAACUCAACGUUGGCUACUAACUCUUGACGAAGGGCCUUCGCUUGAAACGUUGAAUUUCUGCUUGUUUUUUUCAGGGAGUACUAUAUAUAAAUAUAAGAUGUUCAUUCUUGUAAUGGACAACUG